rnacentral:rRNA from 1 species
GACGAACGCUGGCGGCGUGCUUAACACAUGCAAGUCGAACGGAAAGGCCCUGCUUUUGUGGGGUGCUCGAGUGGCGAACGGGUGAGUAACACGUGAGUAACCUGCCCUUGACUUUGGGAUAACUUCAGGCAACUGGGGCUAAUACCGGAUAGGAGCUCCUGCUGCAUGGUGGGGGUUGGAAAGUUUCGGCGGUUGGGGAUGGACUCGCGGCUUAUCAGCUUGUUGGUGGGGUAGUGGCUUACCAAGGCUUGGACGGGUAGCCGGCCUGAGAGGGUGAGCGGCCACAUUGGGACUGAGAUACGACCCAGACUCCAACGGGAGGCAGCAGUGGGGAAGAGUGCACAAUGGGCGGGAGCCUGAUGCAGCAACGCCGCGUGCGGGAUGACGGCCUUCGGGUUGUGAAGCGCUUUCGCCUGUGACGAGGCGUGAGUGACGGUAAUGGGUAAAGAAGCACCGGCUAACUACGUG